CACCCCCUGUAGUGCUCGAUAGCGGCCUGGGUAUUUUCUUGAGCCUAAUCGCUACCCAGGGGACAUGAACGCAAAGCUGUUGAGCAUGUCCGUCACCGAGCGGAAAGCCUGAAGCCGAGUCAAGUGUCCCCACUUGAACCUCAUGGUUCAAGAACAAAGGCCAGCAACGGCACAGAUGGGGGGUGU
rnacentral:other from 1 species